UACGUAGGGGGCGAGCGUUGUCCGGAAUCAUUGGGCGUAAAGAGCGUGUAGGCGGCCCGGUAAGUCCGCUGUGAAAGUCCAGGGCUCAACCCUGGGAUGCCGGUGGAUACUGUCGGGCUCGAGUCCGGAAGAGGAGUGUGGAAUUCCUGGUGUAGCGGUGAAAUGCGCAGAUAUCAGGAGGAACACCAGCGGCGAAGGCGCCGCUCUGGGCCGUAACUGACGCUGAGGAGCGAAAGCAUGGGUAGCAAACAGG
rnacentral:rRNA from 1 species